rnacentral:rRNA from 1 species
UACGUAGGGUCCGAGCGUUGUCCGGAAUUACUGGGCGUAAAGAGCUCGUAGGCGGUUUGUCGCGUCGGCUGUGAAAACCCGAGGCUCAACCUCGGGCCUGCAGUCGAUACGGGCAAACUAGAGUGCGGUAGGGGAGACUGGAAUUCCUGGUGUAGCGGUGAAAUGCGCAGAUAUCGGGAAGAACACCCGUGGCGAAGGCGGCUCUCUGGGACGGUACUGACGCUGAGACGCGAAAGCGUGGGGAGCGAACAGG